UAAACAUCACGUGCUUCCACGUUAUCGUCUAGACACUAAAACCUAAAACCUCGCACGGUGGGCGAGGCGGCAGUCGCGUCAAAGGCGUUCGGAACCCUGCGGAGAACAUUGUUCGAUAAGCUCACCUCCGUCGCUUUACUCGUGAAGCUUGCAUAAUAUUUGUGAUAGCGCACCUAUAUAUAGGGAAUUUGCGCGCUGUGGUACUUUACACUGAGUGGACUGGACUCUGUUGACUGCCUUGGCGAUGGCCGGAAAUGAAGGGAACAGAGGGCUGGUCGGGAUCGGAAGACGCAGGAGAAGGAUGAUGCGCCCGGUGUGCGAGAGCUCGGGUGGCAUCGUGGGCGGCUUCGUUUCCAGCCAGACCCGAGUGACCAGAAGCCCAGAUGAUCUGCACGCGGCGUUGCCUUGAGGGAGGAGUGCCAAAGAGAAUCUUCUGUGCUUGGGGUGC